UACGUAGGGGGCAAGCGUUGUCCGGAUUUAUUGGGCGUAAAGAGCGUGUAGGCGGCUAGGUAGAUCCGUUGUGAAAACUCGAGGCUCAACCUCGAGACGCCGGUGGAAACCAUCUAGCUAGAGUCCGGAAGAGGAGAGUGGAAUUCCUGGUGUAGCGGUGAAAUGCGCAGAUAUCAGGAAGAACACCCGUGGCGAAGGCGGCUCUCUGGGACGUGACUGACGCUGAGACGCGAAAGCGUGGGGAGCGAACAGG
rnacentral:rRNA from 1 species